CAACUCUUCUCUCUCUCGAACCCAUAGAACCACUGCCAUCAGAACCAUUGUCGAAACCAUAGCAGUGAGGAUGCUACCGUCCUUAGCUUUAGCUUCGAUUCCUUAAUGUCAUGUUCGCAUCCGAUUUGAAAUCGUUGUUCAUUAUAGAGAUCUCAAUCACAACCAAGUUCUAUAGAAGAUUCUCUCUCCUUGACACUGUUUCGAAGAUUAUACUCUCUCUAUUAUCCAAAACCUAGUUUCGCAGAGUAGCGGAUUUUGGAGUAGCUAAGGUGGUUGAUGCAACUGGAAAAGGGGCUAAAUCCAUGUCGGUCAUUGCCGGUUCUUGUGGUUACAUUGCUGUAGAUGGCUUACAAUGAAGAGGAAUUGGAAGAGUGAGCUUUUUUGGAUUGAUUCAUGCUUGAUGAUGAUCAUAAGUACUACUCAGGCCCAUACUUGCAAUGUGUUUUCUUCUUUAAUUUUGAAGCAGCCCAGUUUGAAGAUUUCCUCUAGUUGUCCCAAACAGUUUGUAUUGAACGGCAGGGUUACAUAUGAGUGCUGAAGUUCUAAAGAAUUUGAAACUUCAGAAGUUACUGGUGGAGCCAAGGAAGUAUGCAGAGAAGCCAGCCAAGUUUGUGAGUCCAAAAUGCAACGCCCACGUGAUCCAGCAGCCUCGUUGAAUCAGCUUACCUCUUAUGUAGUUUAGCUAAUGGAAAAACCAAAGUACUUGUCAUGUAUAAUUCCUUGGUGGAGUAAAAGAGAUGUUAGCCGUGAUCUUUUCAUGGCUGGUACUUAGAAUUUUCUUUGUUUUUGUUUGUUUAUUAGAGUAUUACUUUUAUGUAAUUAAUCAUAAUGUUGAAGAUAAAUAAAUUUUCUUCUCACCAUUCUCAGUU